UAGUUUCCCUGGAUAUGCAGGUGCAUGUUUCAAAGUUUACAUGGAAUCUAAGCACCAACAGUAGUAAUCAGACCUCGAGAUAGUCAGCAUUGCUUCCGGGGACAUUCUCUCGAGCUCGCUUUGCCUCGAUGGUGCAAAGUUGUUCCGAUUUCGAGGGUCAGAAGCCUGUGGAUAGUCUUCUCUCUGGUGAACUUGGUUCCUCAUCCUCAGGGAUUGAAGAAGAGGAUGAAGAUGAUGACCCACAAGAAUCCUAGCUUUUCCAGCUUUAGGUGAUCGAAUUUUCCACAUUGCUUCUCCAUUGCAAAGAAACUCUUCUAUCCUUCUUUGCACCUGUUUCAAUGGCAUUCCAUCUCUCAAAUGUUCGCCUCCAAUGCCACUGUUUUCAUACCUGAAAAAAAACAUGUAGUUCAAUUAUGUGAAUUAUUGUUUUAUAUUUCCUUCCAUUAGACAUUAGAGCUGAAUAAAAUCGAGAAAAUAAAAAAUCAGUUAAAUUAUAA